rnacentral:lncRNA from 1 species
AUCUGGCUUUCUAAGUGACCAGCUUAUCUAUUUACCUGUUCCAAAGAUAGAUUCCAUCCAGCCCAAAGUCCUGUUCCAAGGAGGUUCAUGCACACUGAGGAGGAUUUAGAAGGACAUUUCUGCAGAACAGCCUCCCCCACAACCACAUCAGUGUAGGUCAUCACCCCCACUUUUCAGGAAGAUUGAAACUUCAGAAGACCCGAGUUUCCUGGAGGAGGUACAAACUGGAGGCCCACUCUGUACAGCUGUGAGGCAAACCUGCAGCUGGACCAGGGCUGCUCACUCAGCCACAGUGACUCACAUCUCCCGUGGAGCCUGCAGUGACUCAUCUCUCAGGCAUGCUGCAGUAGUCUAUCC